rnacentral:misc_RNA from 1 species
UGGUUCUGGCAUCGAUGAAGAACGCAGCGAAAUGCGAUAUGUAAUGUGAAUUGCAGAAUUCAGCGAACCAUCGAAUCUUUGAACGCACAUUGCGCCCGUCGGUAUUCCGGCGGGCAUGCCUGUCCGAGCGUGAUUACAACUCUCAUGGAGCCUUCACUAGAUAUAGAGAGUACUUUCUUAGUAUAACUACUCUAGGCGAGAGCAUAUCAUGGUAUUGGGCUUGUUUAUCCUGAGGUGCAUUCGUGCUUCCCCGGGAGGCCCUAAAGAUAGUGUCGCCGCUAGUAUGUUAGCAGUUCUGCGUCACGUUGCAGUUUAUAAGCAAUCGUGAACAGUGUGCCAGCAGUAGCUUGAGCGCUCCUUAGAGAUUCCUCUAAGAAAAAACAACUGUACAUCAUAUUUCCUCGGAUCAGGUAGGAGUACCCGCUGA